rnacentral:rRNA from 1 species
UGGGGAAUCUUGCGCAAUGGGCGAAAGCCUGACGCAGCAACGCCGCGUGGGGGAUGACGGCCUUCGGGUUGUAAACCCCUUUCGACCGGGACGAAGGACUCGUUUGACGGUACUGGUAGAAGAAGCACCGGCUAACUACGUGCCAGCAGCCGCGGUAAUACGUAGGGUGCGAGCGUUGUCCGGAAUUAUUGGGCGUAAAGGGCGCGCAGGCGGCCCGGCUGGUCGGGUGUGAAAGCCCGGGGCUCAACCCCGGAACGGCACCCGAGACCGCCGGGCUGGAGACCGGGAGAGGAGGGUGGAAUAGCCAGUGUAGAGGUGAAAUUCGUAGAUAUUGGCUGGAACACCGGUGGCGAAAGCGGCUCUCUGGCCCGGUUCUGACGCUGAGGCGCGAAAGCGUGGGGAGCAAACA